UACGUAGGUGGCAAGCGUUGUCCGGAUUUACUGGGCGUAAAGAGCGCGCAGGCGGUCGUACAAGUCGCGUGUGAAAGCCCCCGGCUCAACUGGGGAGGGUCACGCGAUACUGUUCGACUCGAAGGCAGGAGAGGGAAGCAGAAUUCCCGGUGUAGCGGUGAAAUGCGUAGAGAUCGGGAAGAACAUCGGUGGCGAAAGCGCUCUACUGGACCGCAACUGACACUCAGGGACGAAAGCGAGGGGAGCGAAUGGG
rnacentral:rRNA from 1 species